GGGACACCCAGAGGGCUGGGGAGGCUCCACUGGUGUCGGGAUUAAGGAGCAGCAGCUGCCCCUCCCAAACACUGUCACCGCAGGAGGACUUUGCCAUGAGACGAGUGCAGGACGGAGCACAGGAAGGCGCUGACUCCAGGCCUGGCAGAGGCGCUGCUGCCACCACCGAAGCCCCCCGCAACCCUGCCUCGGCCCACAGCUGGACCUUGGGCGGGAAGUUCAGCCCCCGGGGUGGGAAGCUAAGAUAAGAUCAAGGUAGGACAAUUGUCCGGGGGUUAUCCCAGACCUCGGUGGAGGUAAACAAAGCUGCGGGAGCAGAAUGGAUCCCUGGUGGUGGGCAAGGAAAGCCAACCCAGCACUCGUGCUGGAAUCAUCUCCAGCUGGGUCAAAGGGAAUUCCAGAGGGGCAGGUGGCGACCACCAACUCCCGGCCACCGGCCCCAGAAACCUCCGGCUGAAGAGAAGAGACAGCCUGAGCUGGGACUAAUUAGCACCCGAGGCCAUUGUUUAACCAAUGGCAUUAAAGAGCUGUGUAGCCCAUGAGCACUCAUUCCUCAGUUUGCCGAAAUGGAUAAACAGGGAGAAGUUCAGAAUGACCUCAGGACCCCCCAGUACCGAGAAGCGCCGGGGGAAGAAGGACCAACAAUGCCUCUGGAUCCACGGGUGGUGCUGACCUUGUGACUGAUCUCUCUCCCUCCCUUCUCCCUCUCUGCCCACCCUUCCUCCUUUCUCUCCCUCACAUUUUAUUUUUCGGUAAAUUCCAUACUAUUGACUUUGGCA